AUUGAACGCUGGCGGCAUGCCUUACACAUGCAAGUCGAACGGCAGCACGGGUGCUUGCACCUGGUGGCGAGUGGCGAACGGGUGAGUAUUACAUCGGAACGUACCUUAUCGUGGGGGAUAACGCAGCGAAAGUUGCGCUAAUACCGCAUACGCCCUGAGGGGGAAAGCGGGGGACCGUAAGGAAUCGCGCGAUUAGAGCGGCCGGUGUCUGAUUAGCUUGUUGGUGAGGUAAAAGCUCACCAAGGCGAUGAUCAGUAGCUGGUCUGAGAGGACGUUCAGGUACACUUGGACUGCGACACGGCCCAGACUCCUACGGGAGGCAGCAGUGGGGAAUUUUGGACAAUGGGGGCAACCCUGAUCCAGCAAUGCCGCGUGAGUGAAGAAGGCCUUCGGGUUGUAAAGCUCUUUUGUCAGGGAAGAAACAGCAGCUCUAACACACUGUGCGAAUGACGGUACCUGAAGAAUAAGCACCGGCUAACUACGUGCCAGCAGCCGCCGUAA
rnacentral:rRNA from 1 species